CAGCGUUGGCCUCAUCCUAAAUCUGGUCCUCCCUUGAGAUUGUAACACAGGUCACUCCUGGACCAUGGUGAUCUCAAGAACACCAUGUGUUUGUUGACUUAGAUCAAUCAAGGUCUACCUUUGGAACUGGGAUGGUAUCAGAUUUCCUUGUUUCUCGUAUUUGUGCAGGAUAUGGCCACCCAAAGGAAAUCAUGCUGUGCUAGGAAGAAUUUGAAGAAUGGAUAUGGCAUCCGCUGUACUCCAUCAUUACAAACUGGGCACCACUGCCUUUGAAAAAGUGGUGGUAGCGCUGAUGCCAUAUGUACUCUGCUAUUAAAUAAAGCAGACAAAUUUCGGAUCGUUUGUCCACUGACUGCACCUUCAUCAACACAAAAUGUUAGCUCUUGUUCUCUAAUCCGACUUGUGAAAAUUUGGUGGAGCUGUGCCUUCAGGGUAGGGUGCAGGACUCACUGAGCUGCAUGGACUGUGGGCUUGCCUCUUGCGCAAGUGUCAUACAGCUCCCUGGUGACCCCAUCAUGAGGAGAGGCUGUGAUGCCUGAACAACAGCUCAUUCAGGAAAGCAGUGAGCCAGUUAAGGAAGGAAUCCGUGCAAUAACUAAUUUUGCUGAACUGAGUGACACUGGGACUAAACAAGGAUUUGGUUUAGUCCAAACAGUCUAGGUUACUAUGUGUGGACAGGCACAUAAAAAUUGUCACACAGCUUCUUGAGCUA